ensembl:lncRNA
GUAGGAGGCAGUUCACUCUGGGCACGCUAUUCAUCCCAAAGGGAAAAUGCUGCCCCCUAUUCCAAAAAGGUUAAAGCUAGUGAGGGAGAUAUGAGCCUCCAGCUUCACUGAUUUUUGCAAUUUGUUCCAGUCAUUGGUAUCAGAGUACUGGAAGGAAAGACGGACAAAGGAGGUGUUGGCUUUGGGGAUGACAAGUGAAUGACCAUGGUUGGCAGCAUCAUGUUGUGUGGGCGCUUUGCUGCAAGAGGGACUGGUGCACUUAAGAAAAUAGUUGGCAUCAUGAGGGAGGACAAUUAUGUGGAUAUAUUGAAGCAACAUCUCAAGACAUCAGUCAGGACGUUAAAGCUUGGUUGCAAAUUGGUCUUCCAAAUGGACAAUGACCACAAGCAUACUUCCAAAGUUGUGGCAAAAUGGCUUAAGGACAACAAAGCCAAGGUAUUGAAGUGGCCAACACAAAACAAUUUAAAUGCAAUGCUAUCAAAUACUAAUUGAGUGUAUGUAAACUUCUGACCCACUGGGAAUGUGAUGUAAGAAAUAAAAGCUGAAAUAAAUCACUCUACUAUUAUUCUGACAUUUCACAUUCUUAAAAUAAAGUGGUGAUCAUAACUGACCUAAGACAGGGAAUGUUUACUAGGAUUAAAUGUCAGGAUAUGUGAAAAACUGAGUUUAAUGUAUUUGGCUAAGGUGUAUGUAAACUUCCGACUUGAACUGUAUAUACAGAGAAAAAGAGUCGGCCCGAGAAUUGAACCCUGUGGCACCCCCAUAGAGACUGCCAGUGAAGGAUGUCUGGAAUGCAGUAAAUGGAAUGGUAUCAAACAUGUGUGUGGUUGAUAUCAUUCCAUCGACUCCAUUCCAGCCAGGAAGGGUGGGAGAACAACGUGAAGGUAAUUUUCUUUGCACUCAACAGCAGCAUCCAAGCCUCCACUGAGUAUGGAUGGGAGCCGCAGCUGUUGACUGAGUACUUUCAGAUCACUGAAAGCUCACCUGAUGUGGUGGAAGUUGUCGAACCAGAUCGGAACGCUUUUGAAGACCACCUUCAAGCAUGGACUGAGAAAUAUGUGGAGGUUUUUGACAAAGUGAGACUGAACAUUGUCAAGGUGCAGGAGAAACAGAAGGAGAGCUACCGGGGCAGAGUCAAGAAGGGGGCCAAGUGCUACGACGUUCCGGACGAAUUACUUAGUUUGGAAGAAGGACAAAAGGAAGGCGAGACCUGGGAAACCUUGCUGCUCUGGGGUCACGAUCUGUUAAGGGUUACCUCGGUGGAAACAAACAAUCUUCUCCAGUUUUAGCAGUUGGACGGUUGACCACUGAAGCACUGACGCCCUACACUUCAGUGAAGCCCAAUAGACAAAGACCAUCGACUGUCUGAGCCCUGCAGGAGGUAUCCCAUCCACCAGAACCGUUGAGUUCAGAUCAGUCUGAUUCUCUAUGCUCUGAGUCAGAGGGGGACCAGCUUGGGGACCUAGGGGUUCUGCCUAACAUCCAGACGUGGAUCCACCUGAUGUCCUCCAUUACCAAUCACCCUUCAACUUUUCAUUACAUCAUCUACAGCUACUGUUAUUGUCAUGAUGUCAUUAUCUGCUAAAAUAGUGUUCUUGCUCUAUUAUACUGGGCACAUAAUAUGUGAGAUUCACAGAUUAACUAAAAACACUAGCACUGCAAACACUCAGAAAGCAGCAGUGCCUGGACUUUGCAGUCUCCCACUUUAAGUCCCCCUUUCGAGACUGACAGGCAGAACCUCCCACCCACACAGCAACCACCUCAAUAUUCCACACACCAGAAUUCAGUAUUUUAGUCUAUGAUUGCCAUGUGAGUGAGUGUACAAAAAAAAUAGAAAAUAUACUGACACAACUGUACCAAAAAAUCUAAAAGUUUAUGUAUUAAAAUCUUAAAUAUUG